AAUCAACGCUGGCGGCGUGCCUAACACAUGCAAGUCGCACGGGAAAGGGACUUCGGUCCUGAGUAAAGUGGCGCACGGGUGAGUAACACGUGACUAAUCUACCUCCGAGUGGGGAAUAACUGAGGGAAACCUUAGCUAAUACCGCAUAACACUUACGAGUCAAAGCAGCAAUGCGCUUGGAGAGGAGGUCGCGGCAGAUUAGCUAGUUGGCGGGGUAAUGGCCCACCAAGGCGAUGAUCUGUGUCCGGCCUGAGAGGGCGCACGGACACACUGGAACUGAAACACGGUCCAGACUCCUACGGGAGGCAGCAGUGGGGAAUUUUGCGCAAUGGGGGAAACCCUGACGCAGCAACGCCGCGUGGAGGAUGAAGUCUCUUGGGACGUAAACUCCUUUCGAUAGGGAAGAUAAUGACGGUACCUAUAGAAGAAGCCCCGGCUAACUUCGUGCCAGCAGCCGCAGUAAU
rnacentral:rRNA from 1 species